ensembl:lncRNA
ACGUCCCUCUGUGCGGAUCUCAUGUGGUGAGCAGCAAUAAACCCUUGCUUUUCCUUCUCACAGCUCUCUGUGUUUUUUGUCAUCCUUAAACUGAUGUAAGUACUUGGUGAUAUAACUUAGCUGUGUUUAACUUUUUGGAAAAUUAGAGACAACAGCACAAACAGUGCAGGACGAUAUGAGGUGGUGAAUUUUGGUACUUGUGGUGAAGCAAAUUGUAGGCUUUGUGGAUGCCUGGAUGUCCUGUGGCUAGUGAUGUGUUUGCCCAGGUGAUGAGUUUUACCCGCAGGUUGGGGGGAACAAAAGUUUUUGCACUGGGACAAGAUUCUGGGAUCUGGAGGCAGUGAGUGCACCCACAAAGCAGGAUUCAGGAAGCAUCGGUUCUUCAUUUGUCUUUUGGGGUGGAGCUGGGUGGAGUCAUGAACGGAGAGAGAGAGGGGGCCACAUCAUGCUCACUGACUUUGAAGGUCACCAGACACCCGUGCUGCCAAGAUGUUUACAUUUCUGAGCUGAUAGAAGAGGGAGCAGCUCUAGGGCUGGAGAGCUGCUGGUGCAUGUCAUCUUUUAAGCAGAUGUAGGAAUGCCUCAACCUAUCCCCCCACCCCACACUGUCUCAGACAAUUUAGACUUCUAGAUUUGUUUGUUUGUUGACAUAUUUCAAUUUCAUUUUUCCUUCUGUGUACUCUUUACUUAAAAAAUAAUUUUAAAUAAAUAAAUGCUUA